GGCCUAAUAGUCUAGUGGUAUGAUGUCUGCUUUGGGAGCAGGAGGUCCCGGGUUCGAACCCCGGUUGGGCCC
rnacentral:tRNA from 2 species